ACUGGAGGACUAAGAAGGCGGAGUCUGAUGAAGCGAGACUCUGCUGAUACAAUCCUCCUAGAAAAAAGGGUUGGAGAGAGCAGCCCUUACUGGAGAAGGUUCCAGGGCUGACUGUGCUACCCAACAUUC